UGUCUUCAGGGCGGGGUGAAAUUCCCCACCGGCGGUAUGGUGUCAUUUUUGAGCACUAAAGCCCGCUAACUGUGUGUUACACAGCCGAUUUGGUGAGAUUCCAAAGCCGACGGUACAGUCCGGAUGAAAGAAGAU
rnacentral:ncRNA from 1 species